UUUAUAACACCUGUUCCUAUCCGAUCGCCGAAGUUAAGCAAUGUCGGUCCCGGUCAGUACUUAGAUGUGAGGUCGCUUACGAACACCGGCUACUGUA